rnacentral:rRNA from 1 species
GACGAACGCUGGCGGCGUGCUUAACACAUGCAAGUCGAACGAAAAGAGGGAAAGAGCUUGCUCUUUCCGGAAUUGAGUGGCAAACGGGUGAGUAACACGUAAACAACCUGCCUUCAGGAUGGGGACAACAGACGGAAACGACUGCUAAUACCGAAUAAGUUCCAAGAGCCGCAUGGCCCAUGGAAGAAAAGGUGGCCUCUACCUGUAAGCUAUCGCCUGAAGAGGGGUUUGCGUCUGAUUAGCUGGUUGGAGGGGUAACGGCCCACCAAGGGGACGAUCAGUAGCCGGUCUGAGAGGAGGGACGGCCACACUGGAACGGGGACCCGGUCCAGACUCCUACGGGAGGCAGCAGUGGGGAAUCUUCCGCAAUGGGCGAAAGCCUGACGGAGCAACGCCGCGUGAGUGAUGACGGCCUUCGGGUUGUAAAACUCUGUGAUCCGGGACGAAAAGGCAGAGUGCGAAGAACAAACUGCAUUGACGGUACCGGAAAAGCAAGCCACGGCUAACUACGUG